UACGAAGGGGGCUAGCGUUGCUCGGAAUCACUGGGCGUAAAGGGCGCGUAGGCGGCCGGCCAAGUCGGGGGUGAAAGCCUGUGGCUCAACCACAGAAUGGCCCUCGAUACUGGACGGCUCGAGACCGGAAGAGGUUGGUGGAAUUGCGAGUGUAGAGGUGAAAUUCGUAGAUAUUCGCAAGAACACCAGUGGCGAAGGCGGCUCACUGGCCCGGAACUGACGCUGAGAUGCGAAAGCGUGGGGAGCAAACAGG
rnacentral:rRNA from 1 species